UGCUUGGAGUGGGGGAGCUGGGCGGAGGGCCCGGCUGAGAGGACGGCGAGCGUCGACCCCUUGAACCUGAUCCAGGUAAUGCUGGCGGAGGGAGGCGUGUGGAAGGCACUA
rnacentral:ncRNA from 2 species